rnacentral:lncRNA from 1 species
UUUGCGAGUUAGGAAAAGAUAGAGAGAAAAAGGAAUAAGGAUCAGAGUAGCACAGCGAAAGCUGUGGAGUUUAGAUCUUGUUUGUUUGUUUGUUUGUGUUUUUAACAUUCGAGGACGAAUGUUUUAUAAGGGGGGAAGAUUGUAAUACCCGGCUAAAUCAGGCAUCGGAAUUUCUACCGUCCGGUGGAAUUCGGGGAUGUCAGAG